rnacentral:rRNA from 1 species
UAGGGAAUUUUGCGCAAUGGGCGAAAGCCUGACGCAGCAACGCCGCGUGUGUGAUGACGCCCUUCGGGGUGUAAAACACUGUCAGUAGGGACGAAUUUUGACGGUACCUACAGAGGAAGCACCGGCUAACUCCGUGCCAGCAGCCGCGGUAAUACGGAGGGUGCAAGCGUUGUCCGGAAUCAUUGGGCGUAAAGAGUUCGUAGGUGGUUUGUUAAGUCUGGUGUCAAAGCCCGAAGCUCAACUUCGGUUCGGCAUCGGAUACUGGCAGACUAGAAUGCGGUAGAGGUAAAGGGAAUUCCUGGUGUAGCGGUGAAAUGCGUAGAUAUCAGGAGGAACAUCGGUGGCGUAAGCGCUUUACUGGGCCGUAAUUGACACUGAGGAACGAAAGCCGGGGUAGCAAAUGGGAUUAGAUACCCUGGUAGU